rnacentral:lncRNA from 1 species
CAAUCAAGAACUAAAUGUAAAUGAGCGAUGGGAAUGUCCAUUCUAUGGCACUGAGGAAGAAAACAAUGAGAUGCCAGCAUCUUACUGCUGGUCAAGUGCAGUCCUUCGUGAUGAAGAAGGAACCAAUGU